ensembl:misc_RNA Metazoa_SRP Metazoan signal recognition particle RNA
GCUGGGCGUGGUGGCGCACGCCUGUAGUCCCAGCUACUCAGGAGGCUGAGGCAGGAGAAUUGCUUGAACCCAGGAGGUGGAGGUUGCAGUGAGCCAAGAUCGUGCCAUUGCACUCCAGCCUGGGUAACAAGAGCGAAACUCUGUCUCAA